UAGGGAAUCUUCCGCAAUGGACGCAAGUCUGACGGAGCAACGCCGCGUGAGUGAAGAAGGAUUUCGGUUCGUAAAACUCUGUUGUUAGAGAAGAACAGCGCAUAGAGUAACUGUUAUGCGUGUGACGGUAUCUAACCAGAAAGCCACGGCUAACUACGUGCCAGCAGCCGCGGUAAUACGUAGGUGGCAAGCGUUGUCCGGAUUUAUUGGGCGUAAAGCGAGCGCAGGCGGUCAAUUAAGUCUGAUGUGAAAGCCCCCGGCUCAACCGGGGAGGGUCAUUGGAAACGGGUUGACUUGAGUGCAGAAGGUGAGAGUGGAAUUCCAUGUGUAGCGGUGAAAUGCGUAGAUAUAUGGAGGAACACCAGUGGCGAAGGCGACUCUCUGGUCUGUAACUGACGCUGAGGCUAGAAAGCGUGGGUAGCAAACAGG
rnacentral:rRNA from 1 species